UGCGUGGUGUUGUGGCCCGACCGAGAAGAAAAGAAUAAAAUCGAACACUACCUAUAAUACCACCACAUAUUAUUGUUAUUAUUGUUAUUAUAGACAACACACACAGCGACAACAGUGGCACGAACUCACUCCGGUCGACGACGAUGACGAACGGCUGCGGUCGCGGUGCGGAAUUCGACAACAUUAAUUUGUCAGAGGAGCAAACAUGGAUUAAAAACGGGUUGAGCGACGCAAACGAUUUGAUAUUUUCGCACGCACUCGAAAUUUCGACGCCGAGUUUCGGCCGUGGACGACGGAAGCGCCACCGGUGUGUACGGGCCGCGACGUUAUCGCGACUCGGAUGGUUUUCUACGCACUUACGAAAUCGUCGAAAACAGAAUAAUAAUUUAUUAAAUCUUAAACACAGUUGUAAAUUAUAAAAAUAUGAUUAACGAUUUACGAGUUUUAGGCAUUGUUUUUCUUUUUCAUUCCCUGCGACAACGACGACGGCCUGGCGAAUCGAACCACCAACCAUUGGACGUCCAUUGAGUAGUGUGCGGACAUUUUAAUAUAAUAUAUUUAUGUCGGUUAAUUUUAGUUGAUCAUCUUCAACGACCAUCUCGAUUCUUUUGUUUUAAUCAUAGUAAAAUUAACACAUAACGGUUUUCUGAUGCGAGUUCUACACACACAGUAAUUGAAAUCGUUCUGUGUAUUAAAAGG